GUUAUCGUAUUCAUCUCAAUCCACAUGUGUUGAAGUGGAUUGAGGUGGAAUUUAGUUCAAAUUACACUCCAACCCAUUCCAACAUAUGUGGAUUGAUGUGAAUCCGACU
rnacentral:pre_miRNA from 1 species